CGUUCAAAUCACGUUGAAACACCGGUUUUCGUACGACCACCAACGUUAAGCAAUGUCAAGCCUGCUCAGUACCGAGCUGAGUGACAGCUUAGGAACACCAGGUGCUGUAA